CCGACCUUAGCUCAGUUGGAAGAGCGCGAGACUGUAAUUGGUAAAAUGUCAUCUUGAGGUCGCCUGUUCGAGCCAGGCAGGUCGGA